rnacentral:rRNA from 1 species
UACGUAGGGUGCGAGCGUUGUCCGGAUUUACUGGGCGUAAAGAGCUCGUAGGCGGUUUGUCGCGUCGUCUGUGAAAUCCCACGACUCAAUCGUGGGCGUGCAGGCGAUACGGGCAUAACUUGAGUACUGUAGGGGAGACUGGAAUUCCUGGUGUAGCGGUGGAAUGCGCAGAUAUCAGGAGGAACACCGGUGGCGAAGGCGGGUCUCUGGGCAGUAACUGACGCUGAGGAGCGAAAGCGUGGGUAGCGAACAGG